rnacentral:rRNA from 1 species
UUUUUGAAAUAUAAUUUAAAGUCUAAUCUGCCCACUGAUAUAUUAUUAAAGGGCUGCAGUAUUUUGACUGUACAAAGGUAGCAUAAUCAUUAGUCUCUUAAUUGGUGACUUGUAUGAAAGAUUGGAUGAAAUAUAAGCUGUCUCUAAUUAAUUUAUAGAAUUUAAUUUUUUAGUUAAAAAGCUAAAAUAAAUUUAAAAGACGAGAAGACCCUAUAGAGUUUAAUAUAAAAUUUUAUUAUUAUUUAUAUGUAAAUUUUUAAAUUAAGAUAAAAUUUAAUAUUUUAUUGGGGUGAUAAAAAAAUUAAAUUAACUUUUUUUUAAAAAUAAACAUUAAUUUAUGAAUAAUUGAUCCAUUUUUAGUGAUUAAAAGAAAAAAUUACCUUAGGGAUAACAGCGUAAUUUUUUUUUUUAGUUCAAAUAGGAAAAAAAGUUUGCGACCUCGAUGUUGGAUUAAGAUAAAAUUUAAAUGCAAAAGUUUAAAAUUUUGAUCUGUUCGAUCAUUAAAAUCUUACAUG